rnacentral:lncRNA from 1 species
AGAAUGCACUAUAAGUGGCACUGGUCUGAGCUAACUAAUCAUGCUGAUUCCAUUUCCCUUGCCCAAUGAUUGGUUUAGGCAUGAGCAUGAGACAUGAUUUCUAUUUAAUAAGAGGGGAUCUCUACUGGAGGCAUAGGGAAAAGUUUCUCUUAGUCUUAAUAAGGAACAGUUAUAUCCUUUUUUUCUAAUAUUUAUUUUUUACUUUAGUUGGACACAAUACCUUUAUUUUAUUUAUUAUUUUUUUGUGGUGCUGAGGAUCAAACCCAGGGCCUUAAAUGUGCUAGGUGAAUAUUCUACUGCUGAGUUACUACCCCAGCCCCAGUUAUAUUCUUUCUUCUAGCCUCUUGAUGUUAUUUUAUGACUAUGGCAUGCCUGAGUAGCUGUAGUGAUCUUGUGAUCAUAAAGUGAAGGACCAACUGACUAAAGAGUGUGAAUAGGAUAAAGGGAAACUGGGUGCUUAAUGAUUUUGCUAGAUAAAUUACUUAUUCUGGAGUCUCUCAAUAUCUGCACUUAUAGAAAAUAGUAAAAUGACUUAUUGAUUGAUUCUCUUUGUGUUGACUUUGCUAUUAUUUUCCACUGAAAUAAUUCUAAGUGAUAUACCUUGAGGAACAUAUCAGGGUUAACUAAUUUGGGCACACAGACUUCCUUGAAUUUAGGAUAUUUUACAGUGACCUUAGAAUUCCCAGAAAAAAAAAUUGUAAGGAGAAGAAAUGGUUAGACAAAGCUGUAUAAUAUACUGGCCCACCAAUCAUAACAGGUAUCAUUCUAUUUCUAGAAUCUAUUUUUAUUCUGCUUUAUUUAUUUUUAUCAGUAUAUAGCAAAUCUGAUUGUGUGUGUGUAUAGUUCCAUAAAUUUUAACACAUGCAUGUAUUUGCAGAACCACCACAAUCAGAAUAUAGGACAGUUCCAUUACCCACUAAACCUUCAUCAUGUGAUUGCUUUGAAGUCACAGCCCCCACUUCUAAUCCCUGAUCUGUUUUCAAUCACUAGUUUUGUCUUUAGAAAAAUGUCCUAUAGGGCUGUGGUUGUGGCUCAGCAGUAGAAUGUUCGCCUACCACAUGUGAGGCCCUGGGUUCAAUCC